CCUUGACGCGGGGGUCCCUCUGCCCCGACAGUCGCUCUGCCCCCGGGGUCCCUCUGCUCCGGGGGUUCCUCUGCUCUGGGGUUAACCUGCUGUGGGAGUCCCUCUGCCUAGGGGUCACCCUGCUGCGGGGUCCCUCUGCUCCAGGGUCACACUGACGCGGGGGUUUCUCUGUCCCGGGGUACCUCUGCCACAGGGUCCUUCUGCCACGGGGGUCCCUCUGCUCCAGGGGUCCCUCUCUCCCGAGGUCACCUUGCUCUGGGUGUCCUUCUGCCACAUCUCGAGGCUUCCAUGGUGUGCUCUGCACUCCACAUAAGCAGAGCUGCCAGCCCCAGAGAUUGAUCUGUACUCAAGGGAAGCAGACUGUCCCACACCAUCAUCAGUUUCCAAGAUGAACAUUCCUAAGGUGAAAAUCAGCAGUAUACACAGUGCUAACUUCAGCCUAGGGAGUCUGUUGGAUUAAGCAAUGGGAGCAGACAAAAAGCUCCUUAGAAAUGCUGUGGGUGACAAUUGUCUGUGGUCGGUUCAUUCAUCCCGGGGUGGUACUGUAUGUGGGAAGUGAGUGCGGGCUAACAAUGCCACAACUGCUUUCCCAACCCACAUGUUGGUCACGUGUAGGUCCUCUUCAGCCCAAUAAAGAAGUGGGCUGAAACGUGAGUUGCCUUUCACUCCACUGAAAAUGGCUACAAAGCACUGCAGCUGAGUGAGUAGGGCUGAGUGAGAAGGCUCACCAAAGUUCAGUGUCAGUGUGUUAAGAAGCACAACUGUUUAAAGUAACUGGCUGGGCAGACGAAAGGUAUUUGCAGAUUGUUCUCUAUCCAAAAGGGCAACAUUAAAAGUGUUGCAUAAUCAAAA